AUUUCAGGUCAUUCCAUUCCACUCAAACAAUUUGUGUAGAUUGAAUAUUAUAUCAAUUUAUGCCAGUCACAUUGUUUUAGUUUACUUUUACACCAGGUAUUAACAGAAGAUAUAUAAAACUCACAAGAGAGUCUUGUAAAUUGUCUUUUGCUUCAUUGCAUUUCUCCUUGUAAUAUCUAGGAAAUUAGAGGCUGCUGCAUCUAAAUGUCUGAUGUGUCUUCUGUGCAACAGGUGCUGUUGGCCAUCAAGGGAGAAGAAAAGGAGAAGAAAUGGUGGAGGAAAGACAAGAGAAGGAGGAGGAGGCUAAGAGUGCAGCUAAUAUUUUAAGAUAAUCCUCUUGACCUGUUCUCUUCUUCUUAUGUAAACUCGGUGCUGUUCGCUUGCAGCUAUUGCCGCACACACUGACAGGAGGGGCGCUAUUCUGCAACCAGACAUAAAUACAAUCAUCGCGCCACGCAAACGCCCAGAAGUGUCCCCUUUUUUCCUCUGUUUUUGCAGAACAUAUAUUUAAGAGAAAAAUACAUCCGCUACCAGAUGAGAAGGGAUGGGAAGGUCAGCCCAGAGGUCAGCGGACAUGGUUGUUUUCACACCCACUUUACAGCCGUGUCUGCAUUCCUGUCCUGAACCAGGAUGAGAGCAGUUCAGGAGUGUGACUGAAAAAUUGCCAAGAUGAGCCUGCGCUUUUAGAUUCUUCAUGGGGCCUUUACGUAUCACCACCACAGGAGAUGAGUGAUGAAAAUGGAAGAAUAUCUCACAGAUCCCCAGAGCCUGACACUGGGCCACUUUACACGCACGGUGUUGGUAAAGCUCUCAUUCACACAUUUUCAGCAGUAUGGGAGAAGAAGAAAAGACCACCCUUUCUGAAGCACAGCAAUCAGGGGCCUUUCAGAAGACUUCUGUCUCUGUUUUAAUUUCCCCCCAAAACACAUCUGUGCUCACACUGAACUCACCAGGAUAUGUGCACUCAGAUCUCUUUGUGAAUGCACAAAUACUUCCUGACAGGUAUGCACGUGGGUGUGUGCUCCAAAAUAAAAAACAGUCCUGGAAUACAAGUCUGCUGGAAGUGGAGCAAUCAAGAAGAGAAACAAUGCAAACAGAUGGAGUUGUUUCUUCCAGCGAGAAACCCGCAUCCAGACAUAACAGCUCACACAGAUGUCCAUAGUUUCAAAGGUUGCUAUCAAAGCAUCUAAUAGCAGCACACUCUACCAUUAACAAGGCAGAUGGUCUUCAACGGUUUUGUUUCUUAGGCUGGCAAACAAACUAUCAUAUGUGACCGCCCACACAGUUUCACCACAUAUUACAGCUUAAUAUUCAUGCACCUGUUUUUAGUAAAAACUCUUUGCUGAAAGAGAGAAUUUGUUUCUAUCUCUAUGAAACCAUUAUCUCAAUGAAACUUCCUGGCACUAACUUUAGCUUUGAACUCAAAACUUUGUUAUUUGGUAUACAUGUCCACAUGUCUUGACUUUUGUAAAUCCAAACAGUACAUACACAUAUACUGUAGUGCAAUCCCAGUUUUAAGUCUAAACUAGGGACGGGUAGUUAGAGUCCUUGAGGGUCAGAAUGCUGCAUGUUUCAGAUGUUCAUUCGUUCCUGCAGAACUUACUGGGUAUUCAAACCUCUGUGGCUCUGUAUUUAAAAAGUUAUUCUUCAACAUUUCAACUCAGGAUAUAGCUGUUAAUUACUACAUUUCAGAAAACAAUGUCAGUUCCGCAGGCCACACCGUGUAAUAAAGCAAAGAAAUCCUUUGAUGGAACCUGUUUGAUAAAAUGAAAUAGGGUAAAAAGGUCUCAAAAGCAAAACAUAAUGCCUGGAUCUAAAUAAAUCAAGACCAGGUGAGAAACAGAGAAACAUUUACAUCCAUUAGUCUGAUAAGGGUUACAAAGUCAUUUCUUAGACUGCGGGACUCCAGUGAGCCACAGGAAGAGAAAUGACCCACAAAUGGAGAGAAGAUAGAACAGUGGAGAACAUUAUAAGGAGUUAAAGAACCCAGAAUGUCUGAAGCACUGCAGGGCACACUUACCCCAGUUAAAGCUGCAACUGAGAGUUCUGAGAAAAUCCUGGACUUAGCCUGAAAAUUUGAACAAGCACACCUUAAACGUCCCUUCUCUUUGCUUUCUGCUGUAAUACAGCCCUCCAUCCACAGCUGCUCCUUCACAACUGAGCCUGCCAAGAACUCAAGAAACCAACACUUUUUCUGUAAUGUGAGUUUGUUUCUCUGCCAUUAGCACAGCUGCAAGACACCUGCAAUCUUGAGCUUAUACCACAGUAAGGGCUGAGCGGGGAAAGCGUGUGAGCAGCAUGUACAUAAGCUUGAUUAACACUUCCACGACAUUCUUCCUAGUUGGUAUUGGUUAUUUCUGACUGGGAGUUAUGUAUUUAAAUAUUAUUUACUGUUUCAUAUAUACAGCUUUUUAUGACAACUGAAGCUGACAUAAUAAUUGAUUGUACUAUAAAAUGGCACUAUGUACCUGGAAAGUACAUAAUACAACCAUUUUAAAGAGAGUAGUCAUUUUUAAGAAUUUACGUUUAAAGUUGGAUCAUCAUUUUAUCCUGAAAAAUGAACAAUACCACUGAAUUUUUAAAAACAUAGAAUUAAAAUGACAUUUUU